GAGGAUAUAAGUCAGCGGUAGGGUGCAUGCUUAACAUGCAUGAGGUCCCGGGUUCAAUCCCCCGUACCUCCU
rnacentral:tRNA from 1 species